UGAAUUUUGACGUUUUAUGUAAAUGGGAUUC
rnacentral:piRNA from 1 species